rnacentral:rRNA from 1 species
CGAAAGGCAGGCUAAUACCGCAUACGCUGAUAAGCGUCAGUUUAUCAGGAAAGCUUUUGCGCUUGGGGAGGGGCUUGCGUCUGAUUAGCUAGUUGGUAAGGUAAUGGCUUACCAAGGCGAUGAUCAGUAGCUGGUCUGAGAGGACAACCAGCCAGACGGGGACUGAGAUACGGCCCUGACUCCUACGGGAGGCAACAGCAAGGAAUUUUGCGCAAUGGGCGAAAGCCUGACGCAGCGACGCCGCGUGGGGGAUGAAGGCCUUCGGGUUGUAAACCCCUUUUCUAGAGGAAGAAAUCUGACGGUACUCUAGGAAUAAGUCUUGGCUAACUACGUGCCAGCAGCCGCGGUAAUACGUAGAAGGCGAACGUUAUCCGGAUUUACUGGGCGUAAAGCGGGUGUAGACGGUUUUCUAAGUCAGUCGUGAAAUCUCCCGACUCAAUCUGGAGAUUGCAAUUGAUACUGGAGGACUUGAGGGCAUCAGAAGAAAGUAGAAUUCACGGUGUAGCGGUGAAAUGCGUAGAUAUCGUGAGGAAUACCAGUGGCGCAAGCGGCUUUCUAGGAUGCUCCUGACGUUGAGGCCCGAAAGUGUGGGGAGCGAAAC